UUGUGGAGGAGGACGCCGAAGGUGGGGCUGAUGACCGGGGUGAAGUCGUAACAAGGUAGCCGUACCGGAAGGUGCGGCUGGAUCACCUCCUAACAGGGAGACAAAAACUGAUUAUUGAUGUCUGAUAUUUAAUUUCAGGCCGUAAUCCUGUCACCUUAGGUCGAUCGGUACCUCUGGUUAAAGUAUUAGAAAAUGAGAAAUCAAUUUUUUUUAGCUUUAAUUUUAGUUCCUAAACUUGUCUAGGUCACACCCAACAAACUUUCUCCUGGGCUAUUAGCUCAGGCGGUUAGAGCGCACCCCUGAUAAGGGUGAGGUCCCUGGUUCAAGUCCAGGAUGGCCCAUUCGUUGUUGGGGGUAUAGCUCAGUUGGUAGAGCGCCUGCUUUGCAAGCAGGAUGUCAGCGGUUCGAGUCCGCUUACCUCCACUGAUCAACUACCUGAUAACUCAAUUGGAGAUUGUCAUUUGUUUAAAGUGACUUAGAUAUUGUUCAACUGAAUGAACCUAGCUUCCUAUCAUUCCUUGAUGAUUUCGGGCUGAUAAGACGCUGGGCUCUCUGACAGGAAUUGUCAGUUUGAUUCAGCAGAACCUUGACAACUGCAUAGGUUAAAGUCUGGAAAAAAGCAUCUCAUAGAUUCUUAGAAGCUUUUAAUUUAGAAAUUCUGAAUUAAAGUUUCUAUUGCAAUUCUUGGGUUAGAGCAAAAUUCUAUGAUUGAAUUUACUUAAUCGAUUUAAGUGAAUUUUAUUUUUAGUUAGAAACAUAGUUUAUUUAAUGGUCAAGCUACAA
rnacentral:misc_RNA from 1 species